ACUCCUACGGGAGGCAGCAGUGGGGAAUAUUGGACAAUGGGCGAAAGACCUGAUCCAGCCAUGCCGCGUGUGUGAAGAAGGUCUUCGGAUUGUAAAGCACUUUAAGUUGGGUAGGAAGGGCGAGUUACCUAAUACGUGAUGUUUUGUACGUUACCGACAGAAUAAGCACCGGCUAACUCUGUGCCAGCAGCCGCGGUAAUACAGAGGGUGCAAGCGUUAAUCGGAAUUACUGGGCGUAAAGCGCGCGUAGGUGGUUAGUUAAGUUGGAUGUGAAAUCCCCGGGGCUCAACCUGGGAACUGCAUUCAAAACUGAACUGACUAGAGUAUGGUAGAGGGUGGUGGAAUUUCCUGUGUAGCGGUGAAAUGCGUAGAUAUAGGAAGGAACACCAGUGGCGAAGGCGACCACCUGGACUGAUACUGACACUGAGGUGCGAAAGCGUGGGGAGCAAACA
rnacentral:rRNA from 1 species